rfam:Candidatus Giovannonibacteria bacterium RIFCSPHIGHO2_01_FTLL_45_23 rifcsphigho2_01_scaffold_804, whole genome shotgun sequence.
GCCCUCGUCGUUCAACGGACAGGAUGCAAGCUUGCGGAGCUUGUGAUAGAGGUUCGAUUCCUCUCGAGGGCG